rnacentral:rRNA from 1 species
CUACCACGCGAGUGGAUGCCAAUCCCUAAAACCCCUACCUCAGUUCGGACUGGAGUCUGCAACCCGACUCCACGAAGCUGGAUUCGCUAGUAAUCGCGCAUCAGCCACGGCGCGGUGAAUACGUUCCCGGGCCUUGUACACACCGCCCGUCAAGCCAUGGGAGCCGGGGGUACCUGAAGUGCGUAACCGCGAGGAUCGCCCUAGGGUAAAACUGGUGACUGGGGCUAAGUCGUAACAAGGUAUC